rnacentral:sRNA from 1 species
UUUCUUCCUGUAUAGGUAAAGGGUUUUUAUUCUUGCCUCCUGGCUUAUGUUUUUCUGUAGCUUUGAUUUCUUUUGUCAGCCAUGUUCAAGAUUAUUUAUUCCUGUCUGCCCGCCUCCUGCCCACCCCCAUUUGCUCUGAGGCACAUCCUCCCAGCUGCCCGGGGACUCUGUCAUCACUGCUUUCAAUACCUCUGUCCUGCCUCUUUCUUCUCUCCUGCUGUUCUUCUGCCCCCUCCGCCCCCUCCAGCGAGUUGCAGCCUGUACAGUUGAUUCAUAGCUCAUGGGGACUCUCUCCCCAGCUGUGUCUACAAACACUAAAAAGCCCAUCAAAGGUCUCCACUCCUGCUACGCUAUCAUUUCCGGUUCCUGUGAGCCCUUAAGGCUGUGAUCGUGAUUUCUCACUUCCCAGGCAUACUUGCCCAGUGCCUAUUCUAUGCAGCGGGGCCCCUAGUUGUUACAUGGUUGCUUUAAAUUCCCCCUGACAUCUCUGCUGAGGCGGGUCCUGACGCUCGAGCUGCUGCCUCACUCUGCUGGCUUUCAGUACGCCUUGGGCCUUUUCUCUUGCCCUCUAGACGUGAUGUACCGAGUACAGGUAAAAGUAGGCCUGGCUUUGGGUGCUGUGUGUGUGUGUGGUGGGGGAGCUUUCUGUAAUUCUUGACUGGGCCUUGUCUUCGUGUAACUGUGCCCUGGGAUUGCGCAUGUCGCGAGUGGCCCUCGUUUUAAGGAUCUUUUCAAACAAGGCAGAUAGAAUGAUCUAGAACUGGGUGUUCCCUCCUCAGUGUAGAAAGCUAUAGCGAGUUUCAGCUGGAUGUUUUCCUUCACCCAGGCUAACUAGGCUCAGAUAAAGCAACAGCAUGCCCCAGUUAGCUAGUCUCUCCUCAAGGAGGACAUUGUCAAAGAACAGAAUAGACUGGUGGAUUUAAAAAUGGCUGCCUCCAGAGACUGGAGCAGCAAGCUCAGGGCCAACAAGGUUCUGCCCAUCUCCUCUGCGUUUCUAGUCUAGCUUCCAGUCUUAUUGCUUUUGUGGGGCUCAUGAGCAUGGGAAACGGUGGGUGUCUCAUUCUUGUGCCUUCUCUUGGGCCUUUUUCCUUCUGUUGGUUUUCCUUGUCCAACUUUCACGUGGUAGUUUCUGUUUUAUGUUUGGUGGUGUUUGGUUGUUAUCUCUUAAAAGCCUGUUCUUUUCCAUGAGAGACAGAACGAAGUGGAUCUGGAGGGGAGGGGAGGUAGGGAGGAACUGAGAGAAGCAGAGGGAGGGGAAACUGUCAUCAAGGAUUUGUUCUGUGAGAAGACAAUCUAUUUUCAAUAAAAGGGGAAAAUGUCCCCUUCUUCCUCCCUCUGCAUACGAGUAUGAGAGAAACUCCUGUGGCGCUCUAUCCUGGAAACCUAGAUCUUUCUCCUGGAGUUAAAAGUCAUAGAGGCAUCAGGGCGACUUGUGACUACGUCACGGGAGUGUCAGCUCCCACGUAAGCGUCCCACAUCUACCUCACAGAAACUCUGUCAGGCCGUUACUGUGUGGAUGAGUGUCAGGGGACGCAGAAUGAACUGACUACCCAGAGGAUGAACGGCUUCUGGAUGCUGCUGCUGCCCUCCUUCUCAUGGGUGCACCAUGAGCUUCAGGAGUUGGCUGCUCCCAGGGAGAAGCCCUCAACCAAGAGGCCAUGUUACGGCACGAUUUGUGAGUAGCAUCAGGAGUAGACACUCAGAGUAUACGCUCUAGCUGUCACAUGGCCACCAAAGGCAGUCUACAAGUGCUGCCAGCUUCCACGUGACCCUUCCACAUGCCAGCGGAAUCCUGAAGGUCAGAGGGCAGAUCCACAGCGAGACUAGGUGAGAACAUUAAAUCAAAUAACAGAUGGGAAAUAAAAAAACCCAAACUGUAUGAAUUCUUUGGUCUUGGGAUAGUUAGUGGCUAACUUAAUCAGUCCUCACAGCAAGGCAGCUGCGGACUGUGAGACAGUACCAAAUGAAAGUGUCUGUCUGCCCGUUCUCUCUUUGCGUUUCUGUUUUCACAGCGAUAAGAAAGGACGGUGGUCCUAGCUCCCUUCCAAAGUGGAUGAAUACGUUACUUAAUACGGGUGAAAUUACCAAAGAGGUAAGUGUGAAAUAUCUGUUUUUAACUGCGUGCACCUAGAAAAGUUUAGGACCUAAAAGAUUAUUGGUAUGGGUUUUUACUUAAGACCAAAUCCUACUUCAUAACCCAAGCAAGACUUGAACUCACAACCCUCCUGAUUCAGUUUGCCUAGUUCUAGGAUCAUAAGCACACACUACCACACCCAACUUUCAUGUCUGUUUUCUCUCCUUAUAACAUACAUUACUCUUCUUUUUAAAAAAAAGUUUAUUUUAAAUGAUAUGCAUAUGUGAGCAGUUGGACACAUGAGUGCUCCAGUAGAGGCCAGAGGCAUCGGAUC